UACGGAGGGUGCGAGCGUUAAUCGGAAUUACUGGGCGUAAAGCGCACGUAGGUGGUUGGGUAAGUCGGAUGUGAAAGCCCUGGGCUUAACCUGGGAACUGCAUUCGAUACUGUCCGACUAGAGUAUGGGAGAGGGAAGCGGAAUUUCCGGUGUAGCGGUGAAAUGCGUAGAUAUCGGAAGGAACACCAAUGGCGAAGGCAGCUUCCUGGCCCAAUACUGACACUCAGGUGCGAAAGCGUGGGGAUCAAACAGG
rnacentral:rRNA from 1 species